GACGAACGCUGGCGGCGUGCUUAACACAUGCAAGUCGAGCGACAGCAUCCUUUCGGGGGUGUAUGGAGCGGCGAACGGGUGAGUAACACGUGAGCAACCUACCCUUGGCUUUGGGAUAACCCUCGGAAACGGGGGCUAAUACCGAAUAUUCAUGACCGGGCGCAUGUUUGGUUGUGGAAAGUUUUUCGGCUGGGGAUGGGCUCGCGGCCUAUCAGCUUGUUGGUGGGGUGAUGGCCUACCAAGGCGACGACGGGUAGCCGGCCUGAGAGGGCGACCGGCCACACUGGGACUGAGACACGGCCCAGACUCCUACGGGAGGCAGCAGUGGGGAAUAUUGCACAAUGGGCGAAAGCCUGAUGCAGCGACGCCGCGUGAGGGAUGACGGCCUUCGGGUUGUAAACCUCUUUCAGCAGGGACGAAGCGAAAGUGACGGUACCUGCAGAAGAAGCGCCGGCCAACUACGUGCCAGCAGCCGCAGUAAAAC
rnacentral:rRNA from 1 species